UACAGAGGUGGCAAGCGUUGUUCGGAUUUACUGGGCGUAAAGGGUGCGUAGGCGGCAUCAUAUGUCGAAUGUGAAAUCCCACGGAUUAUCUGUGGAACUGCAUACGAAACUGUGGUGCUAGAGGACAGGAGAGGAGGGCGGAAUUCUCGGUGUAGCGGUGAAAUGCGUUGAUAUCGAGAAGAACGCCGGUGGCAAAGGCGGCCCUCUGGACUGUAUCUGACGCUGAGGCACGAAAGCUAGGGGAGCAAACAGG
rnacentral:rRNA from 1 species